AUAAUUCUAACCAUUUAUUUGACGGUAAAGGUCAGCUCCAGGAUUAUAACAAUGAAGGGAGUUUUUGUUGGUUUCUUUUGCCUAAUCGUGUAUUUUGGUAUCUGCAGUGCUAAGGACUGCACCGGUAAUAGCGACUGUAUAAAUUCGUGUACAAAUGACUACCAUGAACAGUGUGUAAGUGGCAUGUGUCAGUGCCCCGAUCAUACAUGUACCACAACAGCAGACUGUCCGACUGGCAAUGAAUCCGGCUGCCCUCCUGGUGAAGCAAAAUGUUCUAAUGGAAAAUGUCAGUGUACCAAUUAAUAACAGUACAUUUUGUAAACGCAUUGAUAUUUUGUCUGAUUUAUCAAUAAAAUAUUACACUUU